AUGCUGAUUCUUAAUCCCAUGAGGUCUUUAAAAAUAGGAUUGGGUACACAUCAGUUUUGGAUAGCAUUGUCUGAACAUAAGGACAUGAGUUUUGUGACCUACCCUUCAGGACCAAUUCCAGUUCCACCAAUUCAGAUGUUUUCCAUCCUUAAAGAUACGUACCUUUCAGGCUAACAGUCAGGUUAGUCUCAUUUGUUAAGUCAUUAGACAAAGAUUAAUGUAAAGACUAUAAGUAUUCUUCAAUAAUUUUGUGAAGUAAGGGAUUGAAUAGUACAUGCUUUUCCCUUUUGGAAUCUAUAUGAAGUUAUUUGAAUUUAUGAAAUAUAUUAAUGAAGUUAAAUAUGCUAUAAAUAUUAUGAUUAUUAUUGCUGAAAAGAAAGAAAAAGAAAGGAUUGGUGCUUCAGUGCCAAAGAAGCAAUUUUAGCAAUUCUGAUAGCUUAUACAUUGAAAUAUGAACAGUAUAUAUCUUAUCAUGCAUACAUCACCUUGUACUAUAUUUAACAUAACACUUAGAAUAAUAACUCUGUAUGUAAGAUAUGUUAUUAGGCAAUCUUCAGUAUUUUUCAAGUGUAAUAUUCCUUAUCAAAUCUCAGGGAACUUUUUCCCUCUGUAUUUUUAGCAUAUUUGCAAAAAGGGUCUGAGGUAUAAGUAUAAAAUUGUACAUGUUUUUUCUAACACUUGCACAAAAUUGUUAAGCAGAAAAUGGCAUGCCAUCUGGCAGCUGUUUCUACAGUCCCCUUCAUGUUGGGGGUUUGGAUCAGGGGAAAUUACAAUACUUCAUAGUUCCUGCUCUUGUACAUUCUUCAUUUUUGUUUUCAAGGAUAUUUCUCACAUCUAGCUAAUUCCUACUUUUCUAUUUUUAUACUGGAACCUAAACAUUUACCAUUUUGUGCUUGAGUAUUCAAAAUAACGAGAAUUUUCUAAAGGCUCCCAAUCAUCCAAGAAAGAAAUAAUAGAAGAUAAGGGGACCAUGAAGAAGAACAAUACCAAAAAGCAGCAACAAUCAACUACCAACUACAACCAACAAUAACUAACCUCAUAACCUAAUAUGUAUAUAGUACCUACUAUGUUCAGGCAGUGGCUAAGUAUUUUAUUAAUAUCAUCUCAUUUUAUUCUCAAAUAAAGGUAGGGAGGUAGGUACUAUUAUUGUCCCC
rnacentral:lncRNA from 1 species